rnacentral:lncRNA from 1 species
GGGGAAAAUCAAAAUGGUCGAUUAGUCGUCUCGUUCCGAUUAUCGUCUUCCGAGGUAAGUCCUUAAGUAAUUAUAUUUGAUUUGCUGCGCACUUAAGAUUAUAUAAUAUGAUAAGUAAUUAUUUGACGUUUACAAGUUCGAAUUGCAAUAAGUAUAUUGAAUUUCGGCUAUAAAGCCGAAUAUGAAAUGGAUGAUUUAUGUAUAUAAUGUGGCCGAAUGACUAUUAAGUGAUGAUGUGAAAGUGUGUAAUAUGUGUAUACAAUUUUAUUGUACUUGUUUGUAUAAAGUCGAAUGUGAAUUGAAUGGUAUAUAUGUGGUGACAGAAUAGCUAUUAUGAAACAAAGUCAAAGAAUGGAAUAUUUGUAUAAUAGAUGAAUUGUGACUAUUGUUCCUACUUGAUCGAGGUUGUGUGUGAAAUAAUUUGUGAAUAUGGCAUAUAGUCGAACGGUUAUUAAAAGUGAAACUAGGAUAAUGAAAAGAUUAUGUGUUCCUUGUGUAUGAUUAUUGAACCGAAAGUUAAAAGGUAGGUGUACAUUUUGUGCUUAUAUUCGAAUGAAGCAAUUAAAUUGCUAAUGUGAAAUGUUAUGUGAAAUGUGUUAACAUGUGAAUAAAUAUGCAAGACACUGAAAAUGUAUCCGGGCUAAAGUCCCGCAGGCUUCGUGCUGGAAAUAUAUCCGGGCUAAAGUCUCGCAGGUUUCGUGCUGGAAAUAUAUCCGGGCCAAAGUCCCGCAGGCUUCGUGCUGGAAAUGUAUCCGGACUUAAGUCCCGCAGGCUUCGUGCUGGAAAUGUAUCCGGGCCAAAGUCCCGCAGGCUUCGUGCUGGAAAUGUAUCCGGGUUAAAGUCCCGCAGGCUUUGUGCUGAUAAUAUAAUUUCGAGUUUUAUACCUAGUGGGCCAAGUACCGAUGAAUUUGAUAAAAGUAUACAAUUACAAGAUCCUACACUAAGUUGACAAAUUGAAAGUGCAUUACAUAUUAAGUUGGCCAGGUAUGUACCAUGUACUCGUAUGCGAUUUUGAUUUGAAUUAAAUUAUAAAUAUAUAAAGUGAUGCAUCUGUGAAUAAGUGUUAUGACUAUAAAUGUGACUAUAAAUGUGAUUGUGAUAUAUUUGGUAAAUAUGUGAAGUUAUGUGAAGUGAUUCUAUAUUUAUAUUCAAAUAUAAACACUUGGUCCUUGUGGAAAGGUUUGUGGAAGUAUAUGAUUUUAUUUUUAGGUGAUUACGAUCUUGGAAAAUUAAAUGUGAAUAUGAUAUUGUAUUUCAUUCGUUUCAAUUGAACUAAAGCUGAUAGUGAAGCAUUUUAAUGCCUAUGUUAUAUGAGUUCGAUCUUGAAUGACAUCAUAUACAUGUUUAGAUAAUUUGAAUGCAAGGAAUGUGUGAAAGAGCAAAUUUGUAAUAAAUCUGCUUGGGACAGCAACUGUAGCGUGAUUUUGGAAAAUCACCAUAAAUUGUUGAAAUUGAAUUAGAAGCUGAAUAAAUUAUUAAAUUAAAGCUUAAUGAGUCUAGUUUCUUAUAAAAGAAACCAUGUAAGCAAAAUAAUUUUAGAUAAUGAGAUAUUUGAAGUGGAGUGAGACAGAGUCAAAAUGACUUUGAAAUCUCUGUUCUGUCUUUAGAAAAUCAUUGUAAAUUGUACAAUGAUGAUUAUAAGAUAAAAUUUAUAUUCUUAGACUUAUUAAUGAGUCUAGUUUCAAAUGAAGUAAACGAUAACAUAUUUCGAAUUCUUUAUAAUGAGAAAAUUGAUUUGUAGUGAAGAGUGGUCAGAAUAGUCAAACAGUGAAACAGGGGAAACUUAAAUAAAAAUCUGGUAUUGAUUGGUCAAACCAAAAAUUCUGAAAAUUUUAUGGAUGGAAUAUAUAUAAGUCUAUUUUUAGGAAAAAUUAACGGCACUUUAUUUGGAGUUUCUUAUCUCCAGUUAUAAAUAAUUUAGUGACUAUUGCUCAGGAAAAUAGCUUGUAGUGAAUUUGUGAUUUUGUUGCAAACAUGGUUAAAACUAGUUAAUGAGAUACUUUUCGAGUUCUUAUGAUCUUAUUUGUGAUUUCAAUAUUUGGUUUUAAUUGAGUUCAGAUUCAAGUGAGGUGAAUUUACUAAAUAUGCAUUAUGUUCAUGGAUACUUGGCUGAAAUGGCAAUUACCUAGGAAUGAUUUCUUGAAAAUUUGAAAUAAUCGAGCUAUAAGUAAAUUAAUUGUUUGCAUUGCUUAAAACUUACUAAGCAUUGAAGCUUACUCCGUGUUCUCUUUUCCAUUCCUUAUAGGUUUAUCCUUUAGUUCAAGUUGGAAGAGCCGGAGAUAUCAUCACACUAUCGAGUCAUUAUGUGAGUUGAGAAGAUGGUAUAUCAUCAUGAUUUAAGGCAUGUAUAGGAUAGACUAUAGGUAGAAUGAUAUUUUGUCUUUGUAUACAUUAUAGCCAUGCGAAGAUGGCUCGCUUAUUUUGUUUAGAGAAGCCUUAUAAUUGAACUAAUG